CCUACGGGUGGCAGCAGUAGGGAAUAUUGCGCAAUGGGGGAAACCCUGAUGCAGCGACGCCGCGUGAGUGAAGAGGUAAUUGGUUAUGUAAGGCUCUAUCAGCGGGGACGAAAAUGACGGUACCUGCGUACGAAGCCCCGGCUCACUCCGUGCCAGCCGCCGCGGUAAUACGGGGGGGGCAAGCGUUAUCCGGAUUUACUGGGUGUAAAGGGAGCGUAGGCGGCAGGGCAAGUCUGGAGUGAAAGGCGGGGGCUCAACCCCCGGACUGCUCUGGAAACUGGAGGGCUGGAGUGCAGGAGAGGUAAGUGGAAUUCCUAGUGUAGCGGUGAAAUGCGUAGAUAUUAGGAGGAACACCAGUGGCGAAGGCGGCUUACUGGACUGUAAUUGACGUUGAGGCUCGAAAGCGUGGGGAGCAAACAGGAUUAGAUACCCUUGUAGUC
rnacentral:rRNA from 1 species